rnacentral:snoRNA from 2 species
AGGAUGGAGAUGACCCCAACAUGCCAUCUGAAUGCCUGUGCUGAAACCCAGGGGCUGUUUCUGAACCA